ensembl:snRNA U4 U4 spliceosomal RNA
AGCUUUGUGCAGUGGCAGUAUCAUAGCUAAUGAGGUUUAUCCAAGGCAUGGUUAUUGCUAAUUGAAAACUUUUCCCAGUACUCCGCCAUGACGACUUGAAGAAAUAUACUCUGCAUUGGCAAUUUUUGACAAUCUCUACAGAGA